CUCUUGUAAGGUGAAGCCUGCCCAAUGACUGCCAAUAAUCUAAUAAAAAUCAGUUCAAUGGCCGCGGUAACUCUGACCGUGAUAAAAGUAGCAUAAUCACUUGUCACUUAAUUGGUGACUGGAAUGAAUGGCUAAAACGAAUCCUCCUCUGUCUCUGAAGAAAUCCUGGCAAAUUUGAAAUAGCAGUGAAAGAUGCUGCUAAAUAAUUGUAAGACGAAAAGACCCUAUCGAGCUUUACUGGAAUCUUGCAAAGUAAACAUAGUUAUUAAAGACAAAAUUAUACAAAUUGUCAAGCCCGACAGUUUGGUUGGGGCGACCACCCCUAAAAACGUAUCAGGGGAACUCUAAAGGCUGUCAUAAUUAUGAAAAACCGCCUUACUGGAGACAAACAAGUCAAUCAGUUAUAAUUUAAUAGGACAUAUUGACCCGUUAUUUAGCUUCACAACAAAUAACGACUAUGAAAAAAGCUACCGUAGGGAUAACAGGGUAAUAUUUUCAGAGAGUCCAUAUCGAUGAAAAUGUUUGCCA
rnacentral:rRNA from 1 species